CCGUGAUCCUCUAGUCUGCAUAACACAGCCCAUAGAACGUUCUUGAAUUAAUUCCUGUUUCAACUACAGCAUCUCUUUUCGAAAAACAUGCAAUCUUGAUUUAAAAAUUGCCAGUGAUAGAGAAGCCACCACAAACCUUGCAGCCAGUGCCAGAUGCUUCAGAGGGAAUCAACAGAACAGGGCAAUCAUCAAGUGAUCCAUCCAGUCAUCCAAGGCCAGGUUCUGGCAGUCAGAGGUUUAGAUACACAUAGUGCAUGAGAAAUAGCCAUUCACGGACCUAUCCUCCAUGAACUUACCUAAUUGUUUUUUGAAUCUAGCUAUACUUUUGGCCUUCACAACAUACCAUGGCAAUGAAUGCCACAGGAUGACUGUAGAUUGUGUGAAAUAUUCUUAUAUUUGUUUUAAACAUGGAUGCCUAUUAAUUUCAUUGGGCGGUCCCUGGUU